CGCGGGCGGUGGGGGGGGGGCGGGAUCUGGCCCCUCGGGGCUGCUUCCCGGAAACGUGGGGCGCCGCCGCUGGCAACUGUGCGGCUGCUUCGGGGGCUUGCUGCGGCCCCGCUAUGCAACGCGCAGGCGGGCCCCAGUACCCGGCAGCGCGGGCGGGCGGGCCCCCGGCAGGCUUGGGGCCCGGCUGGCAGUCAGGGUGGGGUCGGGACAGCGUGGCCUGCGGGCCCCGAUAAGGUCGCGCCGACAGGACAGCCUGCUGGUUGCGGAUGCCAAGCGCCAGGCACCUCCGCGGAACCAGGAAAUGAGCCUGCAGCAGCCAUUGGCAGGCCGUCCACCCGCGGUGACCAGAACGGCACCUUCCGCACACCGCCACUCCUAUUGUCUCGUCCGAGUCCCCGCUGGGCAGGGCUCUUGUUCCCUGCACAGCCAAAGAAAGCCAGCGCAGGCCUCUGCUCCCGUCGGGGCCUCUGGGCCAGGGAGACUGCCGUGGAUUAGCGCCAGCAGCCCCUACUCUAGGCACCUGCUCCUGCCUACUGCCUGUCCUCAGAUGGCUGGACCCCAGUUCUGUCCCUUCACUUCCGAAUCCUCAGCAUCCAGUGCAGUGGUCCGGCUGAAGGGGUUCGGGAUGUGGCUCAGUGGCAGAGUGCUUGACAGGCAUCCGUGAAGCCCUGGAUUCCAUCCCCAGCCCCGCAACAACAAAAAGGAGAUGCUGAAGGAAAGCUGGUGGGGCAGAAGACCGGAAAGUAUGUCAACUAGAGAGUGGAGACAUUAAACAAAACACAUGUAAAGGUGAAAAAUACAAUGGAUGGGAUCAAUAGGUUAGACACAAAAGAUUCCUGAACUUGAAGGCAAGGAGAAGAACUAAAUUAAACCAAAAAGAAUCUGGGAAAGAUUGAACUGCAGAAUUUUAGGACCACUUCAUGAGGACUAAUAUAUUCCCUGAAAAUGGUGAUGGCAGCUGGAAGGAAGAAAUAAUAUUUAAAGAUACAAACCCACAGGUUAAGAAGCUUUAAAAAGUAACUUCUAGAAUUCUGCUGGGUUCCAAUAGAAAUGAAAUUUUCUAUGGAACACCAAAACUAACUCUGAGGCAAGAACCAUCUGUCAUAAGCUGAGUUUGACCACCAAGUCAUAAACAGUUUUGGAUCCAGAACCGGAUUCAAUCAGGUACAUAAAUAGGUAGUCUAGACCUCUUGUCGCCCACCGCAGUCCAGUGUCACUCAGCUCAUACGAAUGGUAUGGCACCCUGCAAGAAGCAAUGGAAAGUGGGCUCAGUAUAUUGGUGAGCUGAAACCCAUUCAGCAGCUGCACUGAAAGACGGUAGUUAGGAGACUGACCCCAGUUAGCAAAGCUCCAGGGGGAGAUCCCAGCCAUUCCCUUGUGUGGAGAGAUAUGAGACUUUGUUCGUUGGUCAGGAUCCUGGAAGUGGUGAUCUGGAAGUUAGAGGAUGAAGACUUCUAAGGAAGGGGCACAUGGAUGGGAGUUGGCACCAGGAUGCAGGUCUUUGUAUUAAUGUCCAUCAGCACAUCUAAGCUCUAACAACCAAGCAAACAGAAUGGCACAGCCAAUUAGUAUCAGCCUGCCUCCGUCCUCUGCUGCUGCAGCUCUGGAAAAGUGCCCUUGGGUUCAGUCCCUAGUACUGCAAAAGGAAAACAAGAAUUUGAACAGAUUUGUAACAUACGUGUUCACAGCAGCAUUGUUCACAAUAGCCCAAGAAUGGAAGCAACUCACGUGUCCACUGAAUAAUGAAUGGAAAGACAAUGGAAUGCUAUUCAGCCUUUUAAAAUGAGGAAGUUCUCAUACAUGGAAUAACACAGAUGAACCUUGAGACAUUUUGCUAAGUGAAGCAAUCCACUCACAAAAGGAUAAAGGUUUGAUUCCACCUGUAUGAAUAUAAAGUACAAGUACUUAAAGACAGAGAAGGAAGAAUGGUGGAUGCCCAGGGCUGGGCAGGGGAGUGGGGAGUUGGUGUUUAAUGGGGACAGAGUUUCAGUGUGGGAAGGUAAAAUUUCUGGAGAUUGAUGGUGGUGAUGGUUGCAUAGUGUGGAGAUAUAUAUAUAUAUAUAUAUAUAUAUAUAUAUAUGUAUAUAUAUUUUUUUUAAGAGAGAGAGAGGAAAGAGAGAGAGAAUUUUAAUAUUUAUUUUUUAGUUAUCAGCGGAUACAACAUCUUUGUUUUGUAUGUGGUGCUGAGGAUCGAACCCAGGCCGCACGCAUGCCAGGUGAGCACGCUACCACUUGAGCCACAUCCCCAGCCCCAUGUGGAUAUAUUUAAAGCCACAGAACCAUGUACUUUGAAAUGGCAAAUGAUUCUUUUUAUCUUGUGUAGAUCUCACCAUUUCAAUGCUGUUAAAAUUUACCUUCUCUUUCCAGCUACAAAAAAAUUAAAAAAAAAUACUGCCUACGUAGGGUUAAAAUCCACAAAUGAUGUACAAUAUGUAUGAAACCAUGAAGGAGGUCAGUGAAGGCAAAGUCACCCAAGGACUUGUGCUGUGGAGCAGAUUUAAUGUUUUUUUGUUGUUGUUUGUUUUUAACAUGGACAAAUAACUUUAUUUUAUUUAUUUAUUUUUAUGUGGUGCUGAGGAUUGAACCCAGUGCCUCACACGUGCAAGGUAAGUGCUCUACCACUGAGCUACAGCCCCAGCCCGAGAUUUAAUGGUUUUAACUCCACACACUAAUAAGAAUAAUGUAUAUGUGACUUUUGAACUAGUAGAAAGAGAAGUGAAAUGAUUUUUCGAAAGUUGUUCAAUCUACAAGAAUGAAAAAAAGGAUAGAAAAAGAAGCAUGUGUAGUGGUAUGCCCCUGUAUUCCUACUGUUCAGGAGUGGAGGCAGGAGGACUACUUGAGCCCAGGAGUUCAAGACCAGCCUGGGCAACAGAGACACCCCAUCUCAAAAAAAAAAAAAAAGGAACAAUAAAAACUUAAGCUGGGGCUGGGAUUAUGGGUCAGCGGUAGAGCACUCGCCUAGCAUGUGCAAGACCCUGGGUUCGAUCCUUAGCACCACAUAUAAAUAAAAAAAUAAAAUGAAGUAUUGUGUCCAACUACAACUAAAAAACAAAUAUUAGAAAAAAAAGCUGGGCGCAGUGGCACAUACCUGUAAUCCCAGCAGCUUGGGGGGCUAAGACAGGAGGAUCAUGAGUUCAAAGCCAGCCUCAGCAAUGGUGAGGUGCAAAGCAACUUAGUGAGACCCUGUCUCUAAAUAAAAUACAAAAUAGGACUGGGGAUGUGGCUCAGUGGUCAAAUGCCCCUGAAUUCAAUCCCCAGUAACCCCUCAAAAAAUAAUAAUAAGAGCUGGAGAUGUAGCUCAGUGGCAGAGUGUUUGCCUAGCAUGCACAAGGCCCUGGAUUUGAUCCCCAGCAAUGCAAAUAAAAUAAGCUAAUAAGUUUAAUUACAUUAAAUGCAAACAAAAUACUCCAGUAAAAAGAUAAGAUACAUCUAAUAUGCUAUUAACAAAAAAUAGGUAAAUUAAGAAAAUACACAUUUUACAAUAGACUAAAGGAAAUAUAAAGUACCAACAAAGCAUACUUAGUAAAAAAAAAAAUAAGCAAUAUUAAACUAACAAAAUUACUAAAUCCUAUUGACAAACCUUGAAGAAGACACAAAUGAAUAUAGAUCACAUUCAUGUAUCUGAAGACUCAAGAUUAUAAAGUUGUCAAUUUUCCUGAAGCUGAUUCAUAGCUAUAAUGGAAUACAUUAUUAUUCCCAAUCAAAAUUUGGCUGGGUGUCAAAAUAUAUGCUUAUAAUCUCAACAAUUUGGGAGGCUAAGGCAGGAGGACUGCAAAUUCGAGGCCAGGCUCAGCAAUUUAGCAAAACCCUCAGCAACUUUAUAAGAACCUGUCUCAAAUUUUUAAAAAGGACUAGGGUAUGGCUCAGUGAUGAAACAUCCCCAGUUUCAAUCCCCAGUACUACAAAAAAAAAAAAAAAAAAAAAGCCAAUGGGUUGUUGCUAUUGGAAUGGACAAGUUAGUUUUAAAAUUUAUAGGGUCUGGGCCAAAUGUGAUAGCACAUGCCUGUAAUCCCAGAGACUCAGGAGGCUGAGGCAGGAGGAUUCCAAGUUCAGAAUCAGCCUCAGCAACUCAAUGAGGACUAAGCAACUUAAGAAAACCCUGAUUCAAAAAGGGCUGGGGAUGUGACUCAGUGGUAAAGCACUUCUAAGUUCAAUCUCCAGUACCAAAAAGGAAAAAAAAAAAAAACAUAAUCAGUCAAAAUAAGCCAAUGGCUUGGGGAAAAUAUUUGCAGCACGUCACUACAUGAAGACUAUGUGAAGAAUGCAGGGGCAGGGACUCAGUGGCUGAGGUUAGGGUUAGGGUUAGGGUUAGGGUUCUGGGCUGAGCCUUGGUGGCCGAGCCCUGGUGGCCGAGCCUGGGCUGGGCUGGGGCUUGGUGGCAGAGCGCUAACCCAGCAUGUAUAAAACACUGGGUUUGAUUCUCAGCACCAUAAAUAAAUAAAAUAAAGGUCUAUCAGCAACUAAAUUUUUUUUUAAAAAAUGCCUAUAGAUUAGUUAAAAAAAAAAAAGACAAACAUAUAAAGCAUAUAAAGAAUGGGCAAAAGCCUUGAAUAGACACUUCAUGGACAAGAUUAAAAUGGCUAAUAAAUACAUGAUAAUGUUCUCAAACUCAUUAGUAAAUAGCUAAGUGCAAAUAAGAGCCAAAGUUAUACACAUGCCAGACUGGUGAAAAUGAAAAGUCUGGCAGUAUCAAGUGUUGGCAGGGAUGUGAAGCCAAGGAGAUUAUUUUCCGGUUGGUGAACUAGAACAGUAUCCUGAAACAACAGUGAAAGAUCUUCAUAUCCUGGAGAAAUUCCAACUCCUUUGCACAGGACGUAGGUAAAACUGUUGCAGCAUUUGUAAUUACCCCAAACUCGAAACAACCCAAUGUCCAUCCAUCUACAGUAAGAGAGACCUGUGAGCCACGGGUGUGCUGCAGUGGCUUGAACAAUCUCAGCGACAUGAAUGAACCUUACAGAUCAGGAUGGCAGGAGCUGGAGGCCAAAGCUCACCUACACUCCAUUCUGUAUAAUGCAAAGGCAGGAGGGGGCUGGGGUGGGCGCAUAAUCUGUGGUGAAUGCUUUUUAGAAAAACAAGAAGGCGGACUUCCCUAAGCAAGGGCAGAGGAGGUGGUGCUGGAUGGAGAGGGCAUGGGGGGGGCCCCCCGCUGGCAUUGGGGGCUGUUCCCUGGAAGUUGCACAGAUCUAUGUGUUGGCUGUACACUUCUGUAUAAUUUUCUGUAUAUUUUAUUCCACAGGAAGUAAAGGAGGAAAGGUGUAGCCUCGGCUUGGAACAGGUCAGGGCGUGGUCAGGGAUAAAACCAGGGAUCAGUGCAAGGGCAGUUGUUGGGCAGCCUCCAGGGCCUGUAGUUUCCUGCAGAGCUCACUGAGAGUCUGAAAAGAGGGUAGACAGUACCUCUGGAAUCUCCCUCCAGCUAACAGGAGUCUGAAGAGGGAUCUCAGACACCUCCAGGGGUGCCUGCCUCCUCCCUGCCACCUGGUGCAGGGAUUAGGACAUGUAGAUGGUCACAGCCAGAGACAGGCUGUGGCCCUCCCCAUCUCCCACCUCUAGAGACACAUGGAUUUGGUUCAAGUCUCAGUUCUGCCCAUGUACCCUGUGUGACCUUGAUGUCUCCAGGGCUUCAGUCACUCUCAAAAGGCUCAUUCCUUCUGGGCCUCAGGCUGACUGACUGCCUCAAUGAGCACUGGGGCUCCGUGCCUCGUUCACUGUCCUGUCCUCCCUUGCCCCCUACUCAGAGCUACCCCACCCAGCCUGGAAUGCAGAACCUUUGGAGCUGUAGUCUGAGCCCCUACCAACAGGGGGCGCUCCCCACACCAUGACCCAGAGUUGGGAGUUGGGUGGGAACUGGAAGCAACUCAGAUCUGUGAGAGGUCUCUUCUGAUUUUGAAAAUGUUUCCAGGGCCGGGUGUAGCUCAGCGGGAAAGCAUUUGCCUAGCAUGUGAGGCCCUGGGUUCAAUCCUAGCAUUGUAAAUAACAACAGUAAAAUAAAAAAGAAUCUCUCUUUUAACAAUAAAAAU
rnacentral:lncRNA from 1 species